AUUGAACGCUGGCGGCAGGCUUAACACAUGCAAGUCGAACGAGUGGCGGACGGGUGAGUAAUGCUUGGGAAUCUAGCUUAUGGAGGGGGAUAACUACGGGAAACUUUAGCUAAUCCCGCGUACCAUAGUAUGGUCCCAAGUGGGAUUAGGUAGUUGGUGAGGUAAAGGCUCACCAAGCCGACGAUCUCUAGCUGUUCUGAGAGGAUGACCAGCCACACUGGGACUGAGACAGGGCCAAGACUCCUACGGGAGGCAGAAGUGGGGAAUAUUGCGCAAUGGGGGCAACCUGACGCAGUCAUGCCGCGUGAAUGAAGAAGGUCUUCGGGUUGUAAAGUUCUGUCGGUAGCGAGGCGUUAACUACAGAAGAAGCACCGGCUAACUCCGUGCCAGCAGCCGCGGUAAUUC
rnacentral:rRNA from 1 species